GACGAACGCUGUCGGCGUGCUUAACACAUGCAAGUCGAACGGAAAGGCCCUGCUUGCAGGGUACUCGAGUGGCGAACGGGUGAGUAACACGUGGGUGAUCUGCCCUGCACUUCGGGAUAAGCUUGGGAAACUGGGUCUAAUACCGGAUAGGAGCCAUCUUUAGUGUGGUGGUUGGAAAGUUUUUUCGGUGUAGGAUGAGCUCGCGGCCUAUCAGCUUGUUGGUGGGGUAAUGGCCUACCAAGGCGGCGACGGGUAGCCGGCCUGAGAGGGUGUACGGCCACAUUGGGACUGAGAUACGGCCCAGACUCCUACGGGAGGCAGCAGUGGGGAAUAUUGCACAAUGGGCGCAAGCCUGAUGCAGCGACGCCGCGUGGGGGAUGAAGGCCUUCGGGUUGUAAACUCCUUUCGCUAGGGACGAAGCUUUUUUGUGACGGUACCUAGAUAAGAAGCACCGGCUAACUACGUG
rnacentral:rRNA from 1 species